rnacentral:rRNA from 1 species
UACGGAGGAGGCUAGCGUUGUUCGGAAUUACUGGGCGUAAAGCGCACGUAGGCGGCUUUGUAAGUUAGAGGUGAAAGCCCGGGGCUCAACUCCGGAAUUGCCUUUAAGACUGCAUCGCUCGAAUUGUGGAGAGGUAAGUGGAAUUCCGAGUGUAGAGGUGAAAUUCGUAGAUAUUCGGAAGAACACCAGUGGCGAAGGCGACUUACUGGACACAUAUUGACGCUGAGGUGCGAAAGCGUGGGGAGCAAACAGG